rnacentral:rRNA from 1 species
UACCGUGCCCUGCGGAAUAGCUCCGGGAAACUGGAAUUAAUACCGCAUACGCCCUACGGGGGAAAGAUUUAUCGGGGUAUGAUGAGCCCGCGUUGGAUUAGCUAGUUGGUGGGGUAAAGGCCUACCAAGGCGACGAUCCAUAGCUGGUCUGAGAGGAUGAUCAGCCACAUUGGGACUGAGACACGGCCCAAACUCCUACGGGAGGCAGCAGUGGGGAAUAUUGGACAAUGGGCGCAAGCCUGAUCCAGCCAUGCCGCGUGAGUGAUGAAGGCCUUAGGGUUGUAAAGCUCUUUCACCGGUGAAGAUAAUGACGGUAACCGGAGAAGAAGCCCCGGCUAACUUCGUGCCAGCAGCCGCGGUAAUACGAAGGGGGCUAGCGUUGUUCGGAAUUACUGGGCGUAAAGCGCACGUAGGCGGAUAUUUAAGUCAGGGGUGAAAUCCCAGAGCUCAACUCUGGAACUGCCUUUGAUACUGGGUAUCUUGAGUAUGGAAGAGGUAAGUGGAAUUGCGAGU